UACGGGGGGAGCAAGCGUUGUUCGGAUUUACUGGGCGUAAAGGGCGCGUAGGCGGCCUCCGCAAGUCAGUUGUGAAAUCUCCGAGCUUAACUCGGAAAGGUCAACUGAUACUGCGGGGCUAGAGUGCGGAAGGGGCAACUGGAAUUCCAGGUGUAGCGGUGAAAUGCGUAGAUAUCUGGAGGAACACCGGUGGCGAAGGCGGCAUCCUGGACCAAUUCUGACGCUGAGGAGCGAAAGCCAGGGGAGCAAACGGG
rnacentral:rRNA from 1 species